rnacentral:misc_RNA from 1 species
UCACCCCUCAAGCUCCCCGGCUUGGUGUUGGACGGUUUAGCCUUGGUGACGAGGCCCGUUUUAAAGUCAAUGACGGCGGCCUGUUCGACCCCCGGUACACCGAGCUUAACUAAAGCACGUAUCGGUUGAAGGGUAGGCAGGACCCGGUCUUCUUCCUUAACCGGAAACUCUUUCCAA